UACGUAGGGUGCGAGCGUUAAUCGGAAUUACUGGGCGUAAAGCGUGCGCAGGCGGUUUUGUAAGUCUGUCGUGAAAGCCCCGGGCUCCAACCUGGGAAUGGCGAUGGAGACUGCAAGGCUUGAAUCUGGCAGAGGGGGGUAGAAUUCCACGUGUAGCAGUGAAAUGCGUAGAGAUGUGGAGGAACACCGAUGGCGGAAGGCAGCCCCCUGGGUCAAGACUGACGCUCAUGCACGAAAGCGUGGGGGAGCAAACAGG
rnacentral:rRNA from 1 species